AUGCCAAAUCGUCCGCCGGCUGCGCCCUGCUCCAUUGCCGGCCGCACCGGGUUUAACCAUUUUUAAUGGGUCUGCUAUAGAUGCUCUAAGAGCAUCUAGAGCCGGACUUGGUAAAUCCGAACACUUAAACACGCGCGUAUGCGUCCGGAUACAUCCACGGACACUGACCGGUCAAGACUUUAAUUUUUCUUCUCACACU
rnacentral:lncRNA from 1 species